rnacentral:rRNA from 1 species
GUAUACUUUAAGCCACCAUGAAGAAGCCCAAUGUCUGAUCUCGGAAGUUAAGCAGGGUCUGGCCUGGUUAGUAUUUGAAUGGGAGAUCACCUAGGAAGACUAGGUGCUGUAGGCA